UAACCUUUUUGGCUUCUUGUCAACACUGUCAUUUUAAGCAGCCAAUUUUCUGAUAGCUUUUUUCUAAUAUACUUUCCUUGCCUAUUUGUUAUGAUGAUUUUCUUGUUGAUUAUGUUUGUCGAUUUUGUUGGCAGGGUUGUCGUUCUUGAUACUGUCUCUGAGGCCCCCUUAUUGGCCUUUCCCUAAGAAAUUUGAAUGAUUUCUUCACCUUGAAUUAUAAGCAUUUGAAUAUGGAUAUUUAUGUUGACGGUUGUUCUAAUUGUUAAGGAAAUUUAUCGAUUCCACCUGUUUUUAUUUUACGAGAUGUGAUUCAAAGAGACUGAUAAGAAGUUUCAGGCAUAGAACUAGUGAUGAUGAAUCCUAUUAGAACGUAGUUGUUCAUUGAUUCUGAAUGAAUUGGUUCACCUUUGUCAUGAAUAUGGUUCUAUAAAUAAUUGUUCCUCUUGAGAUGAAACUCUUGCAAUUUAAUUAGUGUUUGGGGGGUUUUCUACCAUGUGAAUGUUCUUUUUGUCUAAAUAAAGAGGAAAUCUUCAAUUAGUUGAUGAAAAAAAUUGAAAGAAGAAAUGCAAUUAAAAUAAUAUUUAGCACAGUUUUAGAAAGCUUUGUUACAAUUUGUAUGAUAAAGCAGAAACAAUAUGAUAAUCAAAAAGAUAAUCAUUUGGAUAGUUGAUAGCAUAGUUGAUUUGAAGAAAUUAAUCAUCCGAAAGUUUUGUUACAAAUCACUAUCUU
rnacentral:lncRNA from 1 species